GGCAGUGGAAAAGCCACCAAUAAGUUUGGUUUUCCCGUCAUGAGAAAACGCCGAGAAAACGAAUCAUGAUUGUGCAUGGUGAAUUUCAACCCACCAUCAAUAAGCAUUUCCCCGUGUUUUCUUUAAUGUUGUGUUCAUUUUCUAAAUUAAUUUUGCAUUCGCACCUCGUUUUAGUUUUAAGUAUUUAAUGCAUUACACCAAUUGCAUUAGCAUUACGCUAGAGCUAGACAUUAAAAGAUAUUUGUACUACCAUGUUCGAACCACAAAAAACUGUAGUGGUUGUUCGAAAUGCCAAGUAGAAGUCAAGCGGCUCCCUCUGGUGGCCGAUUCAUGAUUUCCACAACACAUUCCGCAGUUUAGUUCCUAAAAGACGAUGACGAUGACGAUGACGAUGACGAAUUAUGGCGACCCGAAAAGUGCGAAACAAAUUGUAGCUGAUGAAUACUUCCUGUGAUUAUAUUCCUGUGAUUUCAUAUACCAAAUUGAACUUUGUAUCAUAUAUGCAUACUGUCAGUCAUUCCAAAAAGUUGACUUAGCGCUCAGUCACUUUCCCUCCAAUAGACCCAUCAUGUUGUCAAAAACCUAAAACUCAUAUGUGAAGCUCAAAUAUCGUGGAAUACAAAUGUGCGGAGACGAGGUAUUUCCCCAUUACUGCUACCAACCACACCACAUCAAAAUGCCUUACUAAAUUCAUCACCAUUCACCCAUAUGAUAAAGCAUCAGGAAAUUUACCUAAACCUGAGGAGUAAGGCUGUUGGUUGCUGUGAUUUCCAUUUUUACGGUUUUUUAUCAUGAAACUUUCAGUGAGCUUGUUACUUAAGAGUACGUAAUAGAUCCUUAAGCCAAUGCGUACCUUUGUCCAUGACGGAAGAGAGACUUCCAACAACAAUCUUCUCCAUCCUCAUCUUCCCGACGUACACUCAUCUAGCUUCACUGCUUUUGCUGCUACAACUUGUCUUACUUCACCGACGAGUUGGAACACUUCCGUGGUCGCUACCCUUUGCUGUUACACACCUGCAGUUACUUACCUCGGGAUUAUGGGCAGGUAAUGCAGAGGAAAUUUCGAGAAGAUGGACACCAUAACGUCGCCGGUAUCUCCAAAGUGUCAGCGCGGAUCAUCAUUUGUUGUUGGUAAUAUGUUUGUGUUAGUUAACCCGUUGUCUGCCACGCCUUUGUUCUCCCCGCUCCUUAGCAUGGGCCGCGCCGAAAGGCGCCUGUUUGGCAAUGCACCAAGUUCCCCCUUGUCGAUGCGGUGAUGGAUUCUCCUGUCACCGUGUCAGCC